rnacentral:sRNA from 1 species
GCUGGUGGCGCACUCCUGAUAACGGGCAGUGAGGUCACGUCUGCGUCACGCAAACAGAUACCCCGGCCCGCCACCUGCGCGGGCUUUUUUAU